GGUGAAGAUGCCGUUUUAGCUAGCCCUAACCCCAUAUCAUAAUUACCCUAAUAUACUACAUCAAUUUUCCUAACCUGGUACGAAACAGUAUCUCCUGGUCGUAGCUGUAUACCGCCGAGUCAAAAUCUAAAUAGCCAUUUUCUACAUGUAGGCAGUUUUAUUUUGGAGGUAGAACAGUCUGUUCUACAAGCUAUAAUGAAUGAGAGUGAUCCAAAAUAUUUUUCAAGGAGCAGAUGCCCCAAAACUCUAACCUUUUUCUGUAAAUGACAUGACAAUUCAAUAAGUGGAAUCAUUUGCCACUGUGUGCCAACCUGCCACGAUGGUGCCAUUGCUGAGUGUAAUUGCCAAACAUCGGUCUCUUUCUGUUGUCUGUAGGUAAAUGGGAUUGGAUGAGUGACUCACCUCAACUCCCACCAUGUGCGUGUGCUGUCUGCCAUCACUCCUAGUUUGGCCCGGGUGGCAGGCUUCACCUGCUCCGCUGUAGGUCGGCAGUUCAGGGGGGUGCUGGACGAGCACCUAGCCAUGCUGUACUUUCCGGAGGGGAACAAGGAGCUGGCUGUGAAGGGGGAGGAAGGGCAGCUCUACCACUGGAGCCUACCCUCCUCCUUCCAGCUACUGAAGGAUCUGGUGGCAGAUGGGAAGGGACUUUUCCAUCUUAUUCCUUACCUUUGGCUGAGACCUUCCUCGCGUGCUGUCUUCUGUGUCCCGUGCCCUCACCAGAGUGCUCCCACCCACUGUUCCCCCGACCUCCCAGCCCUUAAGGUUGGCCAGGAACACCUACACUCCUUCCGGGGAGGAAAGCUUCGGUGCCGGGACCCCUUCGACCAGGAAGUCACAGUACAUAUUCAUAGAUGACAACAUCCGGCAGAAUCAUGAGGACAUCGUUGCCCAUCCAAAAGUGUUCCUGGACUGCGACGGCUCAGAGACCUGCAUAUAGCCUCCACCUCACAGCUGUAUGACCUACGUCUGGUCCAGAACGACCGUUCGGAGCCAUCUCAGACCUAGCGUAUUUCAGCCAGCUAUGACAGGAACCUCCAGCAUGGGGCAGGCUAGAGUGGUGUGUCUGCAGCCUAUAGCUCCAGGGUGAGGGCUUGGGUUGGGGGAACUCAUUGGGUCUGCAGGUUGAAGGUAACUGCUGUAGUUGCUCAAACUCCUCCUCUAAGUUCAGUGUACUCAGGGUGUGUGAUACUGACAACCAUUAUAUUACAAAUGUAGAAGACGGCUGUUUUUAAAAUAAAAACAUGUCAGAACUAGG